rnacentral:rRNA from 1 species
GAUGAACGCUGGCGGCGUGCCUAAUACAUGCAAGUCGAGCGAACAGACGAGGAGCUUGCUCCUCUGACGUUAGCGGCGGACGGGUGAGUAACACGUGGAUAACCUACCUAUAAGACUGGGAUAACUUCGGGAAACCGGAGCUAAUACCGGAUAAUAUAUUGAACCGCAUGGUUCAAUAGUGAAAGACGGUUUUGCUGUCACUUAUAGAUGGAUCCGCGCCGCAUUAGCUAGUUGGUAAGGUAACGGCCUACCAAGGCAACGAUGCGUAGACGACCUGAGAGAGUGAUCGGCCACACUGGAACUGAGACACGGUCCAGACUCCUACGGGAGGCAGCAGUAGGGAAUCUUCCGCAAAGGGCGAAAGCCUGACGGAGCAACGCCGCGUGAGUGAUGAAGGUCUUCGGAUCGUAAAACUCUGUUAUUAGGGAAGAACAAAUGUGUAAGUAAAUAUGCACGUCUUGACGGUACCUAAUCAGAAAGCCACGGCUAACUACGUG